CGGCGAGUGAAGCGGCAAGAGCUCAAAUUUGAAAUCUGGCCCUCUCAGGGUCCGAGUUGUAAUUUGUAGAGGGCGCUUUGGCGUUGGCCCCGGCCUAAGUUCCUUGGAACAGGACGUCACAGAGGGUGAGAACCCCGUACGUGGCCGCCGGCCUCCGCCGUGUAAAGCCCCUUCGACGAGUCGAGUUGUUUGGGAAUGCAGCUCUAAAUGGGAGGUAAAUUUCUUCUAAAGCUAAAUACUGGCCAGAGACCGAUAGCGCACAAGUAGAGUGAUCGAAAGAUGAAAAGCACUUUGGAAAGAGAGUCAAAAAGCACGUGAAAUUGUUGAAAGGGAAGCGCUUGCAGCCAGACUUGCCUGUAGUUGCUCAUCCGAGCUCCCGCUCGGUGCACUCUUCUGCGGGCAGGCCAGCAUCAGUCCGGGCGGUCGGAUAAAGGCCUCGGGAAUGUANCUCCCCUCGGGGAGUGUUAUAGCCCGGGGUGCCAUGCGACCAGCUUGGACUGAGGUCCGCGAUAGGNUGCUGGCGUAAUGGCUGUAAGCGGCCAGUCUUGAAACACGGACCAAGGAGUCUAACAUCUAUNCGAGUGUUUGGGUGUCAAGCCCGGGCGCGCAAUGAAAGUGAACGGAGGUGGGAACCCCUCGGGGCGCACCAUCGACCGAUCNUGAUGUCUUCGGAUGGAUUUGAGUAAGAGCAUAGCUGUUGGGACCCGAAAGAUGGUGAACUAUGCCUGAAUAGGGUGAAGCCAGAGGAAACUCUGGUGGAGGCUCGCAGCGGUUCUGACGUGCAAAUCGAUCGUCAAAUUUGGGCAUAGGGGCGAAAG
rnacentral:rRNA from 1 species